CCAAAAUUAGCUCCAGGUAUAUGUGUGUGUCGCUGUGUGUAGAAGGAACAAGAAGGAGGCAAUUUCCUACAAAUUGUUAGUGAUUAUCAAAGAUUUUGGGCUUCAAAAUCAUCUUCAAUCUAAACAAGAACAAGUGGUAUACUGAAGCGUGCAAAUCAACGGGUCAAGGUUGAAGAUAAGCUAACAAGAACACUACGGGCGAAGAGGUUGUUUUGGCUUGUAUAUUGUAUUUUUGGUACGUGACUUUAAAGAAAGUGAAAACGAGUCGUUUCGACCCGUUACCAAUGAAUCGGAGUAUCAAAAGCUGAAGUUGGCCUUCCAAACGCCAGAUCAGAGUUUCAAACGCCGGUUUGUUAUGUCGAACGCCACACCAAAACGCCAAUUUCUUUACUUGUAGAGCUCCGCAGUAAGGAUGCACGUGGUCAAGGUCUCGGUUCGGAUUAAAUUAAGAUGCUUUCUUUUGUAUAAAACCUUAGAUUUAACCAAACUAUUAAGUUAAGAAAUCUUUUGUAUGUGACCAUAUAUAUAAACUUACAAGUCAAGCUCGUUAGAUGUCUU
rnacentral:lncRNA from 1 species